UUUUAUCAAUUGUCACAUGCAUCUCUUUCAGAAAAUCGUUUUGAGAAAAUCCAAAUCUGCAAAGCAUACACAGUUACAUUGUACUCACUUAAAACGACAAACAGUGUAAUUUAAGUUAAAAGGAUAUGUUAAUGUGAAGGCCUACGUGCACGAUUCAAAAUGGCGUGUAUUACGUGUAACAUUGAAAAGUUAGGAAAUGAAUUUCCACCGUCAACUGUUACCGAAAAUUGUUUUCAUCCGAUUUUGUGCUGCUUAAGAUGCACCAUGAAAGCGGUAAAGGAAACCUCAAAAUGCCCGCAUCCUGACUGCAAUCAGCCCGCCACACUGGCAGAUCCAACAUUGAAGUUUUUCCAAGCCAUACUGGAUGGCAUGUUUAAGAUGUACGAUGUGACCGAUGACUACAUACCAACCACACCAUCCGUUGUGUCAGGGUUGAAAAAUGGACGGUUGACAAUUUCGCUUCUAACAGGAGAAAGUUUUACGAUUUACGAGUUCAAUCCAAACAUGGAAGUUCUGGAGCUUAAGUCGAACGUCCAGCAAAAACUGAAGCAUGAUGUGAACAAACAGAAACUGCUCUACAGGGAUAAAUAACUCACGGACCAUCUGGAUAACGGUUCAAGGGCAAAACUCAGUCAUUUCAGCAUGCAACCAAACUCUACCAUUAUGCUCGUCGUGCUACUGCUUGCCAUUCCUGAGCAUUGCAAUGAAGUUGUGUUCGAUUUGUACUGGGGAUAUCCAUCUAACGGUCGUGAUUAUCUGGACGCAUCGUGUCUAAUGUUCAAUGGUCAACAAUUUAACAAUCUUUGUGAUUAUAGACAUAGGAACCAUUGCACAGCAAUACGUCAUUCUGGUGACGUCAUGGAUGAUCUGAAUAGAAAGGGUCACCAUACGAUGAAUGUUACACUCAAGAAUAUGCCUUCUAACGUUACACAUUUGUUCUUUACUCUAAGCGCGUGGUGUUCUCCGAACAUCUCCAGAUAUCCGAACCCCAGUUUAAAGUUUUACGAGGCUUCCAACCCUGGAAAGGAUCUUUGCAAGACCACAUUCCAGCACGCUGGGUCAUAUCAGGCCGUCGUUAUGUGUUCGCUGUCACGUGGCAUGUACGGUAGAUGGGAGAUAUUCGGGUCUGGAAAAUGUUCAGCCGGCAAUGCCAAGAAUUAUGAACCUUUGCAAACUACUAUCCGAUCAUUGAUUGCGCAAGUUUUUAAUACUAUCUGUAAUUUGAUUCGCAUUCAAAACAUACAUCGUUGUAUUGUCUGUAUUCAAUAAAAAUAAUCGAAUUGUAUUCAAUUAUAAUAACCGAAUUGUAUUAAUUUUAAAUGACCGAAUUUAAUGAAAACCGAGUUAUAAAGCAGAAUUUAAUUUUGACUAAUUGUAUUGUAUUUUUUUUACUUGUCAUUCACGAUGAUGCGUUUGAUUCUAUGGAGUAAUAUAUUUUUGAACCAAAUAUGGAAUUAACAUGUUAGUGCGAUAAAUUCUUUUAAAUUAUGCUAGUUAAUUACGUAUGAAAAAAGGGAUCUAUUCGAUGACAUUUCUCCAGCUUAGAAAAUACAUACAAUAACAAAUAUAACGCUGAUCCUAUUAAUCUACUUAAUAUUUCAUUUUAAAGGGCUUUGUCAAGCAAAACGAAUACAAAAUAAGAAUUCGUGUGUUGGUAUCGUUGAUUAAGAAGCACAACAGCUUAUACAAAGUUGUUUUGUGUUUUUAUGUUGGGAGUUUCAAAGUUUAUUGUCUAAUCCAUGACAUGUACAAUAAAAUACAUAAAAUAACACAAUUUACAAACAUGCAUGGUUUUACGACGCAGCAUAUACUUAGUCAAUGGCAAUUCAAGAACGCAUCCUAGCACGCAGAUCAUUCUCAUGCGCUCGUUGGGAAAAUGACGGUAGAUGGGAGAUAUUUCAGUCUGGUUAAAGGUCUAGCUGUGAAUGUGAGAAAUUAUGAAACUUUGAAAACUACUUUACAAUCAUUUACAGAACAAGGGAUCAGAUUUAUUAUAUCGGUAGAGCUUGUCAUGCUACAUGUACAUGUAGCUUGCUUUAAUUUACAUCAUAUAUAUUAAAGAAUAUUGUUUUAAAGCGGUUUCAAAAGUGUAAAUAUGCGUAAUUUACAACAAAACAGUGUUAAUUUAAUCAUCUAGUUAUACCAGUCAUAAUGCAUAAUUGCGUUUAUUUUGGCUUUUUAAAUAAAUAAAGUAUGUUAAAUUUUAAAGAAUACAUGUAUUUCGAAUCUGGCAAUGUAACUACUUAUAUAUAUGUGUUUUAGUAGUCAGAUAUUUGAAUAAUACACAUGAACAUGAAUUUAUACUGUAUUAAUAGGGUUUUAUUGCUCUCAAAGAAUAAAAUUAAUUUGACA